rnacentral:lncRNA from 1 species
AAGAGAAAUCAUAGCAUAUCACAAUAAAAUAUCAUCCAAUCACAAAAGAAGACAGUUAAGAGAGAAAAAGACAGAAAAAAAGAAUUACAAAACAGAAAAAUUUAACAAAAAGGCAAUAGAAAAGUCAACAAAACUAAGAAUUGGUUUUUUCGAAAGAUAAAAUAGACAAAUCCUUAGCAAGCAUAACUAAGAAAAAAGAUAGAGGACUCAAAUAUGUAAAACCAGAAAUGAAAGAGGAGAAUUUACAACUGAUUUUAUGGGAAUAAGA